rnacentral:lncRNA from 1 species
GAUACUUAUUUAUGAAUAGCUGCCACAAAUACUUCAAGGGAAGUCAAAGGUUAGCAGAGAGCUACAAGGUCCAGCCAGAACGUACAUCUGACAUACACAAGGUUUUGCAAGGAGAUAUACCACACAGUUAAGGGCCUACAAAGAUGCAAAGGUUUAAGGCUGUACAAGGUGCAAGUCUACCAAACACAUUCAGCCUAUACAAUCAUUACAGAGGACAGAAAUAUCGAGUGGAACCAGUGUUUUGGCUAUGGGUCAGACAAUGUAUGAUGGUGGAUCACAACAACUUGGUGCUGUCUAGAAUCAAAGAGAAGUGACCAGAUGUCUAUGACAUGGGCUGCUGUGCCAUAUUGCCAAUACCUGUGUACAGUAGGGGUUGAAAAAGGCCAGCUUUGCUUUUCACUUCCAUCAUAGUUUCAAGAGCAAGGAGAUACAUGGAGAAUUCCUGUCUUUCACGUAUACUGAGCCUUCAAAGAUUUUCAAACAUUGUUCAGCACACUGGCUAUCCCUUGAGAAAUGUCCGAGACGGUUUCUUCAGCAGU